rnacentral:misc_RNA from 1 species
AAUUCUCAACUCCUCCAGCUUUUGUUAAGUUGGCUUUGGAGCUUGGAUUGUGGAGGUUUGCUGGCCCUUCUAUUGACUGGGUUCAGCUCCUCUGAAAUACAUUAGCGGAACCGUUUGCAAUCCGCCACAGGUGUGAUAAUUAUCUACGCCAGUGGGUUGCUCUCUGUGUUCGGCUGCCAAUCGUCUCUGCUUCAAGAGACAAUUUUCUGAAU